GAAAACUAAGUGGCUUCCCUUGAGGCAGCCCGAGGGCUCCACUGGACCCAGAACUCUGAGUUCUGAUGCUGCCUAUCAUUUGCUUUUCCUCAUGAGCUCCUGGACCACCUCAUAUCACCAGCACCCUCUACCCAAGGUCCUGGAGCCAACACUGGAGUAAAAGAGCACAAGAGAACUCCUUAGAGGUGGAAGGAUACCCUCUGAGGUCAAAUCAUUGGGCUUGUGGCCAUGAGACCACAGACUUUGCCUGGCUUCCAGUGACUGUCCGAGAUGACCUGUGGAGUGCACCGCCUGUACUUGGACAUCACUGUCUUUUCGGAUCCAUACCCGUCAUCCUUGGAAUUUCCCCUGCAUCCAAACCUGUUCCUGAUACAGGUGUGAGUAAUGAAUAACCCUAAGGAAUAUCUUGGAUGUCUUCACGGGGCUUAUGACUUAUUCUGAGGUUUACAAAAUAGAGGCCCCCAGCUGAGCAAAGAGAGGGCUGCAGCGCCGAGGGAACAGCUGCCGGACUCACCGGAGAGGCCUCCUGGAGCACGCCGGGACCCCCUCCACCCCCUGGCUUUGGCUGCAUCAAUGGCUAGUUUGCCUGAACUAUAUCUGAGCCACUGAGAGUAUUUAUUAAGCAGAGAAUAAUUUUGAGUUUCACUUUUAUAACUUUUGUUUCAAAAGUUGUUUUGGAUAAUUUAAUGAAAUGACUGUAAACCAGAAUUCCCCUUUUCAUUAUUUCUUUGUGUCAAUAUAAAAAGAGUUGAUGAUUUUAAAAGCCAGUGAGAUGUCCCUGUCUGUGGAUGUCAGCGGGAGGGUGGGGUCUGACGCCUUUCUCUGGUGGCUGUCCAGGAAGAUUGCCCCAGCUUGCACUCCCUUUUGGCGGGUUCCAGAGCCUUCCAUUUGAAAGGAGCAUCUCUCACCACUCUGCCCCACCCAGCACCAGCUCUUCUGGAACCCACUGACUUCCUAAACACUUUCUUCCUCCUUCACCUCAUUGAAUUCAAGACUUUAGAAAACAGCCAAAAACUCUAGAGGUGGGGGUGGGUUCGAUCUGGAAAUCCCUGCUGUAAUCUUUUUAAGGGAAUCCACUGGAAAUUAUUAAUUUAUGUUUUAAAUAAAACCAUUCCUUACUUAACAGAAUAUUAAGCCACUCAUUUUUUUAACAGAACUUUCGAGAUAUAAUUAAAAUGCCAUAAAUUUCACCCCCACACAGUGUACAAUUCCAAGGUUUCCAAUAUAGUCACAGAAGUCUCUGCAACAAUUACCACAAUUUUAGACAUGAAGACCAUUUGUUGGCAGCCCUACCUGCCUCUAUGUGUAUGUAUAUAAUUUUAAUAUUGGAUUGGAUACUAUAGUAAUAUUGUACUGUUACCUAUUUGUGUUUUUAUAUUGCUGUUUUAUUUUAUUCAGAUGAAUAAUAAUUAUCUCCAUAUAGUCAUACAUUUAUAUAGGGUUAAACACACCUUUUUACAAUUCAAUAAAUUAAAUUGGUCAGGUAUGGUGGCUCACGCCUGUAAUCCCAGCACUUUGGGAGGCCAAGGCGGGUGGAUCACCUGAGGUUGGGAGUUUGAGACCAGCGUGAUCAACAUGGAGAAACCCUGUCUGUACUAAAAAUACAAAAAAUUAGCCAGGCAUGGUGGCACAUGCCUGUAAUCCCAGCUACUUGGGAGGCUGAGGCAGGAGAAUCACUCGAACCAAGGAGGCGGACAUUGCGGUGAGCCAGGAUCGCACCAUUGCACUCCAGCCUGGGCAACAAGAGCAAAACUCCAUCUCAAGAAGAAAAAAAAAAAAAAAGUAAAUUGUUUUUAAUUACAUAAGAAACACGUGUUAUUGUUAUAGAAAUUCACAUAGUGCUUCGGUCUAUAGAAUAAAUGUAUCCCCACCACCUCCCAGCCCACCCACUCGUCUGCAUUCACCUACACACAGUUAAACAUGCACAUAUGUUUCCGUGACACGAUCUUGCUUUGCAUAUUGUUCACUGACUGGCUUUUCCAUAUAAGAUUUAAUUUGGUGAUUAUUGCUUAUCAGUACCUAUAGGUCUCUCUCAUUAUUAUUUAUAAUUACAUCAUUAUUCCAUAGGGUAUUUUACCACAAUUUGGUCACUUUUUCACUGAGGAAUUUUUAUGUCAGUUUCAGUUAUUUGUUAUUGUUACCAAUGCUGUACUGGGCAUCCCUGUAUAUCCACCUUUUUGUUGCAUUAGUUAAGUGGUUUUUUCCUUUUAUGAUUGAUUUCUAAAAAUAAAAUACUGCAGCAAA